rnacentral:rRNA from 1 species
CAGCAGCCGCGGUAAUACAGAGGGUGCAAGCGUUAAUCGGAAUUACUGGGCGUAAAGCGCGCGUAGGUGGUUUGUUAAGUUGGAUGUGAAAUCCCCGGGCUCAACAUGGGAACUGCAUCCAAAACUGGCAAGCUAGAGUAUGGUAGAGGGUGGUGGAAUUUCCUGUGUAGCGGUGAAAUGCGUAGAUAUAGGAAGGAACACCAGUGGCGAAGGCGACCACAUGGACUGAUACUGACACUGAGGUGCGAAAGCGUGGGGAGCAAACAGGAUUAGAUACCCCUGUAGUCCCUGUCUCUUAACA